rnacentral:tRNA from 1 species
GAGGGUGUAGCUCAGUGGUAGAGUGCACAAGGUCCUGGGUUCAAUUCCCAGUACCUCCA